AGCGAACGCUGGCGGCAGGCCUAACACAUGCAAGUCGAACGAACUCUUCGGAGUUAGUGGCGGACGGGUGAGUAACACGUGGGAACGUGCCUUUAGGUUCGGAAUAACUCAGGGAAACUUGAGCUAAUACCGGAUGUGCCCUUCGGGGGAAAGAUUUAUCGCCUUUAGAGCGGCCCGCGUCUGAUUAGCUAGUUGGUGAGGUAAAGGCUCACCAAGGCGACGAUCAGUAGCUGGUCUGAGAGGAUGAUCAGCCACAUUGGGACUGAGACACGGCCCAAACUCCUACGGGAGGCAGCAGUGGGGAAUCUUGCGCAAUAGGCGAAAGCCUGACGCAGCCAUGCCGCGUGAAUGAUGAAGGUCUUAGGAUUGUAAAAUUCUUUCACCGGGGACGAUAAUGACGGUACCCGGAGAAGAAGCCCCGGCUAACUUCGUG
rnacentral:rRNA from 1 species